rnacentral:rRNA from 1 species
AUUGAACGCUGGCGACAGGCUUAACACAUGCAAGUCGAGCGGAGAUGAGGUGCUUGCACCUUAUCUUAGCGGCGGACGGGUGAGUAAUGCUUAGGAAUCUGCCUAUUAGUGGGGGACAACAUUCCGAAAGGAAUGCUAAUACCGCAUACGCCCUACGGGGGAAAGCAGGGGAUCUUCGGACCUUGCGCUAAUAGAUGAGCCUAAGUCGGAUUAGCUAGUUGGUGGGGUAAAGGCCUACCAAGGCGAAGAUCUGUAGCGGGUCUGAGAGGAUGAUCCGCCACACUGGGACUGAGACACGGCCCAGACUCCUACGGGAGGCAGCAGUGGGGAAUAUUGGACAAUGGGCGGAAGCCUGAUCCAGCCAUGCCGCGUGUGUGAAGAGGGCCUUUUGGUUGUAAAGCACUUUAAGCGAGGAGGAGGCUACCUGGAUUAAUACUCUAGGAUAGUGGACGUUACUCGCAGAAUAAGCACCGGCUAACUCUGUGCCAGCAGCCGCCGUAAUAC